rnacentral:sRNA from 1 species
UUCUUGUAAAUUUUUUAAAACACUUUUAAAAUCUCUUGUAAAUCUAUUUUCCGCAAAAAAAAAUUUACAAGGACUUUUAAAAGCAUUUUUUGGCUGAGAAAAAUUUGUUACGAAAAAUAAUUUGGCGGGAAUAUAUUUUAUUUUUGGCGGGACAAAAAUUUGGCUGAAAUUUUUUUUGGCAGGAAAAUCUCAGUUUCCAAUUUCAUGUUUCUAUUAGAUGAGAGUAAUUUGGUCAUUUUGUUCAAGGAAAGUGGUAUUUUUAAAAAUGGAUAAUAUAAAAUGGUAUUUUUAAAAAUGGAUAAUAUAAAAGGGUAUUGUUGCAAAAGGGUAGUAAAAAAGUGUAGUUUUGCAAAUCUCUCUUAUUUCAUAUCUAUUUAUUUUAUUAUAU